rnacentral:rRNA from 1 species
UACGUAGGUGGCGAGCGUUAUCCGGAAUGAUUGGGCGUAAAGGGUGCGUAGGCGGCCUGCUAAGUCUGGAGUGAAAGGUACCGGCUCAACCGGUACAUGCUCUGGAAACUGGCGGGCUAGAGAGCAGGAGAGGGCGGUGGAACUCCAUGUGUAGCGGUAAAAUGCGUAGAUAUAUGGAGGAACACCGGUGGCGAAAGCGGCUCUCUGGCCUGUAACUGACACUGAGGCUCGAAAGCGUGGGGAGCAAACAGG